rnacentral:lncRNA from 10 species
CUCAAACUUCACUUUUCAUAGCUGUAAAAGCUCAUGAGUGAUUGUGAUUGGGAACAGUUCUUAUUAAGGAAAAGUGAAAAUUAACUUGUGGGUUAACACAGCAAUAAGAAGAAGAGAAGAUGUUAAGAAUAAUACACUUGUUAUGGUGGAGAGUGAAGAGGAAACACUGAUCUUUGGCUUUAGGGACUGAUCGAGUGAGGUUUUCUGCCCUAGGAUACACCCAGUCAGGAAGCAGUGACUGUGGUCUGUUCCAAUCACGCCUGCAGAUCUGGCCGGGCUAGAAUCCGUUAGUUGAACGACUUAGCCAUUUAGCAGAGACCAGCUGGUUUCUCACAAAAUCCAUUUCCUGUUCUUGAGCAGUCCCAUAAGCUACAUUUUUCUGCCUCCCUUGCAGUAAUGUAUCACCAUAUAGCUGAGUUCUUUUCUCCCACAUGCUGCUGUUCAUCCCCUUUCCCCAUCUGCAAGCUGGAUGUGGAGGACUCUGAGGUCUUAGAAAAUGAUGAAGAAAUAUAUGAAAGGACCGUGGACCCCAGAAUGACCACGUGGAAUGUUUACUGGUGACCAGGAAUACACAUUUUGAACAUAGUGUGUCAGUAUAUUGGACUUCUCAGACUCCAUGAUUACAAAGGCAGAAGAAGCUCUCCAGAUGUCUUCCAGUAACGUUGAAGUUUUUAUCAGAAUGUUGCAAGGAAACACCAAUUGGGUCACCUGGGAUGACCUUCAAUGACCUGAAGACAUUUACUGAAGGAGCUGUGUUAAGUUUUUUAACAUCUUCUAUUGAGUAAAAGUGAAAAGCAGCUUUUUACUUGGUUGAAACCAAUUGAGAAAGAAAUUCUAUCAAAUAUCAAGUAUGUGCAUGAACUUUUAAAAAGACAAUUUUAUUGACCUAUAUUGAACUUCAUAAGUUUUGCCUAUUAACAAUAAAGCUACUGUGAGCAUUUUUGUACAAGUCUUUACAGAAAUAUACAGACAUGUGCUUUCAUUUCUUUUGGCUAAGCUAGGAGUGAAAUGGUUGUAUCACAUGUUAGGUGUAUGUUUAGCUCUCAAAAGAACUGCCAAACUUUUUAAAAGAAGUGGCUGUACCGUGUGCAUCAACUUUUUUUUUUUUUUUUAUACUUUAAGUUUUAGGGUACAUGUGCACAUUGUGCAGGUUAGUUACAUAUGUAUACGCUGGUGCGCUGCACCCACUAACUCGUCAUCUAGCAUUAGGUAUAUCUCCC